rnacentral:lncRNA from 1 species
ACUCAAACUGGGAUUCUGGUCAUGGCCAGGUGACUGCCAUGAGGACAGAGGCAUCUGGCGUUAGUUCCUGGAUGAAGGCUGUACAGGAAGCAUGGUGCCAGCAUCUGCUUCUGCUAAGGGGUUCAGGCUGCUUCCGCUCAUGGCAGAAGGCGCAGGGGAGCCGGCGAGUCACAUGGUGAGAGAGGAAGCAAGAGAGAGAGGAGGAGAUGCCAGGCUCUUUUUAACAAUCAGUUCUCAUGGGAACUCAGAAGAGCAAGAACUCAUUCAUUACUGCAAGGAUGACUCCAAGCCAUUCAUGAGGGACCAGAUUCCAUAACCCAAACACCGCCCACCAGGCCCCAUCUCCCACACUGGGGAUCACAUUUCAACAUGAGACUUGGAUGGGACAAACAUCCAAACUGUAUCAGACAUCAUCUCACGAAUCCACAAAUUUAGCUGCUUUCCCUUCUUUUCUGUAGUUUCACAACCUACUAUAGAAGCACUUUCUAGAGGGGCCUGCAGAAGUGAAUUUCCUCUUCCAUGGCCUCGAUGUAUUUGGCUGUUGAUUCAGUAUCACUGAACUUACUGCCAACAGCACUACAACUCACGCUGAAGGCACCUCAUCCAGCACAGGUAUUGUCUCCACAGGCACAUCGCAGCCUCCUGCACUCAGAGACAGUAGACAGCACUUCAGCACCGUGCCUGGGGACAUUUUAAACAGCAAAAUCACCAACAAAAGUACAAAAAUGCAAAAGCAUGGCUCUGGAUAGACAGCAGGAAGGACCACUUGUUUCUAGUGUGAGAGCUGGGACAAGAAAGCAGAGGGGUCACCUUGCUUCACCUCAGCCGGGAACAGAUGCCUUGGACUACUCAGAUUUUUUCCCUGCUCUGUACAAGUCUGUGAAUCACUGUGAAGCCACAAGUAUUGAUUUGGUUUACAAACACAUUUUAGUGAAGAGGUGAAUUUGCAGGUAUGGAAUCUAGAAAUAAUGAGAUCGGACUGUAAGGCUGGAGACGAAGAUGGAGAGGCUGCUGCCAAGUGACAGGCUGGCUCUUGUCCCAGAAGCUGUGGACUGCCACUGGAGUGUUUCAAGCAAGGGAGUGGCUUGAUCUGUGUUGUAGGAACAGCACCUUUUCUCAACUUAAAAGUGUGGCUUGAAGAGAGGAAGACGGGAGACUGGUUAGGAGAUGGAUGUAUCCAGGUGAGGAUGAGGGUGGGUGAACGGAGCCAGGGAUAGAGGUCCUCAGGGGAGCUGACCUGAGACCCCUGUGAGUCUCGGGUCCUGGCAAUGGGGCGGCGGUGAGUGGUGAGGGGGAGGCAUUGAGGACAGCGCCCGGGGUCCCCGGCUGGGGCACAUGCUGGGGUGUAGGGCAGUGGUCAAGGGCCCUAGCCUUGCAGUCAGACACCCCUGGCGGGCUGUGUGGCUUAGACAUGCUCCUCCACUUCCCUAAGCCUAGUUGUUUCAUGUCUAGCAUAAAGAUUCCGUGUGGCAGGAAGAACACACCCCCGGGAGUGAUUCUGAGAUUGAAAUGAGUGCUGGUGCUUUUCACCUAAACAAGGAAAACGGGGAGAGAAGCAGUAUGUGGGGUGGGAGGGAGAAGAGUCUGUCUGGGCGUGGGGAUUUGGACGUGCCUCUGGACACCCAUGGACAAAUAUCCUGAGGCCAUCUGAUGUUUUCCGGGGGCCACGGGAGUGGGGGAGGGGAAGGUGGGGCGGAGACACAGACUUGGGCAUUACCAGCAGGCAGGGGGCUGCUACCGCCAUGAAGAGUGGGCAGUGCCAGGAUCAGAGGGCCGGGGUAAAGCCUGCGGAAUUCCCACAUUUCAGAAGAGGCUGGGAAGGAGGUCAAGGAAGAGCAGCAGGAGGAGGAGAAAGCAGGAGGGUGUGGAGGGACGGGAGGCGGGGAGGAGGAAUUCCAGGAGGGAGUGGCCGGGGUGACUGUUCUGAAAGCAUGGACUGGAAGCCACAGCACAUUUGGGCUGCAAGGAACCCGAGAGAUCUUCUAGUCUAAUCCUCUUUCAGUCUCCAUCCCCGUCCGGAUGAAGACAGCGAGAUCCAAAAGUAAAGUCAGUUGUACUGUGACUUCCUAGCAGGAUACCCUAACUCCUAAUUCAUAAUAAAACUACAGACAUUCUCAAUUCAAAAUUCUUCCUAUUCAGUCACACUGGACUUUCUCCCAAUGUGACAAAAUUAUUGAGAUUUUAUUGACUUACUGAACAACUGUGGUCUUUGCCAUGUACUAAGAUACUGUGUAGUCAAACUGCGCCUCUGAAAUCUAUUUUUAUUGUACAUUUAACAAAUUUUGCUGUAAACAAUAAGUUUAAAAACAAUAGUCAUAACUCAUUAAACUGUAUCUUUUAAUUUUAAUAUGUUAUUAUACCUCAAUGAAACUCAGUUUUAAAAAACAGUGAAUAAAAAGUUGAGCUAUUAAAACUAAAAAGUAAUUAUUUGCUAGUUUGUAUACACAGACCCAAGAAAUAGAAAUAUAGGAAUAUUUGGAACUUGCUCCUUCUUACAGCCUUGAGGGAACCGCUUAUCCCUUAUUACGCCUUGGUUUCCCUCAAUGAAACUAGAAAAUAUUACCUUGCAAGACGCUCAUAGUUAAUUAAUACGUAUGAAGCUCUUGAAUCUAAAUAUUAAAUACUUGAUGAUAUUGUCUGGUAAAUAUUAUCUAACUGCAUUUAUAAAUACUAGCAUUUUUACAGCCUAGUGGUAAUUACAAAGUAUAGCCCAUUUAAAAUGAAUACAAAUAUGUGCAUAUAUAUUUUUCCUGUGAAAGUAGGAAAAGAAAGUUGAAAUUAUGCAAGAACAAAGUAGAAAAAUAUGCCUCUCAUAUAAGAUUGAGUGUUUCCAUUGAUCAAUAUAAUUUUUAAAAUGUUGUGAUGAUUCUUUUUUUCACUUAAUUGGCUAUGUCAUUUGCACUCUACCUAAGUGAGAUAUUAAUAAAUUGUAUAUGAUGUAAAUAACAGGAAACAAGAAGAACUGCUGGCCUUAUUCAUAGUUAAUAAAGAGAACCAGAUGAUGA